UGCAAGUCGNACGGUAACAGGAAGCAGCUUGCUGNUUCGCUGACGAGUGGCGGACGGGUGAGUAAUGUCUGGGAAACUGCCUGAUGGAGGGGGAUAACUACUGGAAACGGUAGCUAAUACCGCAUAACGUCGCAAGACCAAAGAGGGGGACCUUCGGGCCUCUUGCCAUCGGAUGUGCCCAGAUGGGAUUAGCUUGUUGGUGGGGUAACGGCUCACCAAGGCGACGAUCCCUAGCUGGUCUGAGAGGAUGACCAGCCAACUGGAACUGAGACACGGUCCAGACUCCUACGGGAGGCAGCAGUGGGGAAUAUUGCACAUGGGCGCAAGCCUGAUGCAGCCAUGCCGCGUGUAUGAAGAAGGCCUUCGGGUUGUAAAGACUUUCAGCGGGGAGGAAGGGAGUAAAGUUAAUACCUUUGCUCAUUGACGUUACCCGCAAAGAAGCACCGGCUAACUCCGUGCCAGCAGCCGCGGUAAUACGGAGGGUGCAAGCGUUAUCGGAAUUACUGGGCGUAAAGCGCACGCAGGCGGUUUGUUAAGUCAGAUGUGAAAUCCCGGGCUCAACCUGGGAACUGCAUCUGAUACUGGCAAGCUUGAGUCUCGUAGAGGGGGGUAAAUUCCAGGUGUAGCGGUGAAAUGCGUAGAGAUCUGGAGGAAUACCGGUGGCGAAGGCGCCCCCUGGACGAAGACUGACGCUCAGGUGCGAAAGCGUGGGGAGCAAACAGGAUUAGAUCCCUGGUAGUCCACGCCGUAAACGAUGUCGACUUGGAGGUUGUGCCCUUGAGGCGUGGCUCCGGAGCUAACGCGUUAAGUCGACCGCCUGGGGAGUACGGCCGCAAGGUUAAAACUCAAUGAAUUGACGGGGGCCCGCACAAGCGGUGGAGCAUGUGGUUUAAUUCGAUGCAACGCGAGAACCUUACCUGGUCUUGACAUCCACGGAAGUUUUCAGAGAUGAAAAUGUGCCUUCGGAACCGUGAGACAGGUGCUGCAUGGCUGUCGUCAGCUCGUGUUGUGAAAUGUUGGGUUAGUCCCGCAACGAGCGCAA
rnacentral:rRNA from 1 species